rnacentral:rRNA from 1 species
AACGAACGCUGGCGGCAUGCCUAACACAUGCAAGUCGAACGAGAUCCUUCGGGUUCUAGUGGCGCACGGGUGCGUAACGCGUGGGAAUCUGCCCUUAGCUUCGGAAUAACAGUUAGAAAUGACUGCUAAUACCGGAUGAUGACGUUAAGUCCAAAGAUUUAUCGCCUGAGGAUGAGCCCGCGUAGGAUUAGCUAGUUGGUGUGGUAAAGGCGCACCAAGGCGACGAUCCUUAGCUGGUCUGAGAGGAUGAUCAGCCACACUGGGACUGAGACACGGCCCAGACUCCUACGGGAGGCAGCAGUGGGGAAUAUUGGAAAAUGGGCGCAAGCCUGAUCCAGCAAUGACGCGUGAGUGAUGAAGGCCUUAGGGUUGUAAAGCUCUUUUACCCGAGAUGAUAAUGACAGUAUCGGGAGAAUAAGCCCCGGCUAACUCCGUG